GAUCAUGGCUCAGGAUGAACGCUGGCGGCGUGCUUAACACAUGCAAGUCGAACGAUUAAGGCGGCUUCGGCCGCGUAUAGAGUGGCGAACGGGUGAGUAACACGUGACCAACCUGCCCCGCGCUCCGGGACAACCGCUGGAAACGGCGGCUAAUACCGGAUGCUCCGGGGAGGCCCCAUGGCCUCCCCGGGAAAGCCUUAACGGCGCGGGAUGGGGUCGCGGCCCAUUAGGUAGACGGCGGGGUAACGGCCCACCGUGCCCGCGAUGGG
rnacentral:rRNA from 1 species